AACGUAGGAGACAAACGUUUAUCCGGAGUUACUGGGCGUAAAGGGCGUGUAGGUGGUUUCGUAAGUCUGGCGUGAAAUUUCUCGGCUUAACCGAGGCAGGUCGUCGGAUACUGCGGAACUUGAGGACGGUAGAGGCGUGUGGAAUUCCCGGGUGUAGUGGUGAAAUGCGUAGAGAUCCGGAGGAACACCAGUGGCGAAGGCGACACGCUGGGCCGUACCUGACACUG
rnacentral:rRNA from 1 species